rnacentral:rRNA from 1 species
AUUGAACGCUGGCGGCAGGCCUAACACAUGCAAGUCGAGCGAGCGGCGGACGGGUGAGUAAUGUCUGGGAAACUGCCUGAUGGAGGGGGAUAACUACUGGAAACGGUAGCUAAUACCGCAUCCCAUCAGAUGUGCCCAGAUGGGAUUAGCUAGUAGGUGGGGUAACGGCUCACCUAGGCGACGAUCCCUAGCUGGUCUGAGAGGAUGACCAGCCACACUGGAACUGAGACACGGGACAACGUCCUACGGGAGGCAGCAGUGGGGAAUAUUGCACAAUGGGAGCAAGCCUGAUGCAGCCAUGCCGCGGGUGUGAAGAAGGCCUUCGGGUUGUAAAGCACUUUCAGCGGGGAGGCGUUACCCGAAGAAGAAGCACCGGCUAUCUCCGUGCCAGCAGCCGCGGUAAUUC